UAGGGAAUCUUCCGCAAUGGGCGAAAGCCUGACGGAGCAACGCCGCGUGAGUGAUGAAGGUCUUCGGAUCGUAAAACUCUGUUAUUAGGGAAGAACAUAUGUGUAAGUAACUGUGCACAUCUUGACGGUACCUAAUCAGAAAGCCACGGCUAACUACGUGCCAGCAGCCGCGGUAAUACGUAGGUGGCAAGCGUUAUCCGGAAUUAUUGGGCGUAAAGCGCGCGUAGGCGGUUUUUUAAGUCUGAUGUGAAAGCCCACGGCUCAACCGUGGAGGGUCAUUGGAAACUGGAAAACUUGAGUGCAGAAGAGGAAAGUGGAAUUCCAUGUGUAGCGGUGAAAUGCGCAGAGAUAUGGAGGAACACCAGUGGCGAAGGCGACUUUCUGGUCUGUAACUGACGCUGAUGUGCGAAAGCGUGGGGAUCAAACAGGAUUAGAUACCCUGGUAGUCCACGCCGUAAACGAUGAGUGCUGAGUGUUAGGGGGUUUCCGCCCCUUAGUGCUGCAGCUAACGCAUUAAGCACUCCGCCUGGGGAGUACGACCGCAAGGUU
rnacentral:rRNA from 1 species